rnacentral:lncRNA from 1 species
GAAAUACACUCUGCUUCAUAUUGCGCUUAUUCGUCAAUCCAUUAGUAUUUUCCGAUAUGAAAAAUCCCUCAAAUCUAAGAAGAAUUGAUAACAGAGAAAUUAUUAGCACUUCUUCAAUUGGAGUUGUUUUGAUAUUUGAAAUGUUCAAUGGUAACAUAAAUUUCUACCAAAAAUAUCCUACCAAUAACGACGUAUAAUCCUGUUCAAGAUGUAUGGCUAGUUUUCCAAAAUUGGUAACACGCCCCUGCACCAAGAAAAAUCCUAUUGACGAUCCGGUAAAAAAAGAUCUCCACAAUUUCAGGAUCAUACAUACUACACUUCUUAUUUGGAACCUACUACUUUCGAAAAUAGAUGAAUAGACUUAGUGGACAUGAAUCUAAUUUUAUCAACAAUAGAAGAUGAAACUUCUCAUAAUGAUAUGUGGUUUUUUUUUUGCAUUAGUUACUUUAUCCUUAUAGCAUAUUUACAAUGUUUUUUUAAAG